GACCUCCGCUGUAUCGGCCAAUGACCAAGCCGGGGCCACCUGAUCUGGUGACCCCGGCCUCUCUGCUGGUGUAUCUGACUAGCGGAGA
rnacentral:pre_miRNA from 1 species